GAUGAACGCUGGCGGCGUGCUUAACACAUGCAAGUCGAACGAAGCACUCUAUUUGAUUUCCUUCGGGACUGAUUAUUUUGUGACUGAGUGGCGGACGGGUGAGUAACGCGUGGGUAACCUGCCUUGUACAGGGGGAUAACAGUUGGAAACGGCUGCUAAUACCGCAUAAGCGCACAGCAUCGCAUGAUGCAGUGUGAAAAACUCCGGUGGUAUAAGAUGGACCCGCGUUGGAUUAGCUAGUUGGUGAGGUAACGGCCCACCAAGGCGACGAUCCAUAGCCGACCUGAGAGGGUGACCGGCCACAUUGGGACUGAGACACGGCCCAAACUCCUACGGGAGGCAGCAGUGGGGAAAAUUGCACAAUGGGCGAAAGCCUGAUGCAGCGACGCCGCGUGAGCGAAGAAGUAUUUCGGUAUGUAAAGCUCUAUCAGCAGGGAAGAUAAUGACGGUACCUGACUAAGAAGCACCGGCUAAAUACGUG
rnacentral:rRNA from 1 species